AACGCGAAGAACCUUACCAACCUUUGACAUGGGGAUUUUGGGGAUCAGAGAUGGUCUUCUUCAGUUCGGCUGGGUCCCACACAGGUGCUGCAUGGCUGUCGUCAGCUCGUGUCGUGAGAUGUUGGGUUAAGUCCCGCAACGAGCGCAACCCUCAUCUUCAGUUGCCAUCAUUAAGUUGGGCACUCUGAAGAAACUGCCGGUGACAAGCCGGAGGAAGGUGGGGAUGACGUCAAGUCCUCAUGGCCCUUACGGGUUGGGCUACACACGUGCUACAAUGGCGGUGACAAUGGGUCGCAAGCGUGCGAACGCAAGCCAAUCUCAAAAAGCCGUCUCAGUUCGGAUUGCACUCUGCAACUCGAGUGCAUGAAGUCGGAAUCGCUAGUAAUCGUGGAUCAGCAUGCCACGGUGAAUACGUUCCCGGGCCUUGUACACACCGCGCAGUA
rnacentral:rRNA from 1 species